ACCAACCGGGAUUGCCCUAGUAACGGCGAGUGAAGCGGCAAGAGCUCAAAUUUGAAAGCUGGCCCCCUCGGGGUCCGCAUUGUAAUUUGCAGAGGAUGCUUCGGGAACGGCCCCCAUCUAAGUGCCCUGGAACGGGCCGUCAUAGAGGGUGAGAAUCCCGUCUGGGAUGGGGUGGCCGCGCCCGUGUGAAGCUCCUUCGACGAGUCGAGUUGUUUGGGAAUGCAGCUCUAAUUGGGUGGUAAAUUUCAUCUAAAGCUAAAUAUUGGCCGGAGACCGAUAGCGCACAAGUAGAGUGAUCGAAAGAUGAAAAGCACUUUGAAAAGAGAGUUAAACAGCACGUGAAAUUGUUGAAAGGGAAGCGCUUGCGACCAGACUCGCCCGCGGGGUUCAGCCGGCACUCGUGCCGGUGUACUUCCCCGCGGGCGGGCCAGCGUCGGUUUGGGCGGCCGGUCAAAGGCCUCUGGAAGGUAACGCCUCUCGGGGCGUCUUAUAGCCAGGGGUGCCAUGCGGCCUGCCCGGACCGAGGAACGCGCUUCGGCUCGGACGCUGGCAUAAUGGUCGUAAGCGACCCGUCUUGAAACACGGACCAAGGAGUCUAACAUCUACGCGAGUGUUCGGGUGUCAAACCCGUGCGCGCAGUGAAAGCGAACGGAGGUGGGAACCCCCCGGGGUGCACCAUCGACCGAUCCUGAUGUCUUCGGAUGGAUUUGAGUAAGAGCGUAGCUGUUGGGACCCGAAAGAUGGUGAACUAUGCCUGAAUAGGGCGAAGCCAGAGGAAACUCUGGUGGAGGCUCGCAGCGGUUCUGACGUGCAAAUCGAUCGUCAAAUUUGGGUAUAGGGGCGAAAGACUAAUCGAAC
rnacentral:rRNA from 1 species